rnacentral:lncRNA from 10 species
CAUUCCAAUCUAGAGAUGUGACAUCCUUGUUGCUUGGAACAUCUUGCCCUCCUUCUCGUAUACAAUGUCUAAGUACUAACUGUGUAGAGCCACUGGUGCUGUUCUCACUAAGAUUCCAUAUUCUUGCUGUUGAGUCUCCAGACAACAUACCCUGAUGCUAGGAGAUCACUAACAGGGUUCCAGGCACAGAUAAAAACUUCAGAUUCAUGGCCCCGCAACACAACAGCUUUAUUAGGAGGGCCUGUUGCUGUGCAAGCUUAUCUCUAUAAGCUUGUUGUCUUGUUUGUACUACAUCAGGCAUUACGGCAUCUAUCAGGGACAGAGACUCUAUU